UACAUGGUGGUGCAGUUGGUAGCACUGUUGCCUUGUAGCGAGAAGGUCCUGGGUUCGACUCCCGAGCUCUGCAU